rnacentral:lncRNA from 1 species
GUAUGUGGUUUAGGAAGACAGGGGGCCGAGUAAUAUGACAGAGUGUACAGAGCUGACACCGAGCUGGCACAGGACGAGCCAGUCAUAGGGAACGCAGAAGGAACAUCCCAGGCAGAGGAAACAUAGGCACAGAGAUGUUCACGAGUAGCCCAACCAUGAAGAACCUAGCAGAAAUCGGAACCAUAAAACAGCAAAGCUGCCUGCUCCAUCAAUAGACAGAAGCACAAAACCUCCCCUGGACCGCUCAUUGGCUCCUCCUCUUGACCGAGAGCCCUUACUGGGAAAGAAACCCUCUGAUAAGCCCUCCGCUCCACUGGGAAGGGAGCAUUUACCCAAGAUACAGAAGCCUCCUUUGCCGCCAGCCAUGGACAGACACGAAAGAAAUGAAAGAAUCGGACCCCUGACAGCAAGGAAGCCACCAGUUCCAAGGCAUGGAAGGGGACCAGACAGAAGAGACAAUGAUGAAGAUGAUGUGCACCAGAGGCCUUUGCCACACCCAUCACUACCUUCUAUGAGCUCCAACACAUUUCCUUCGAGAUCUACCAAGCCCAGCCCCAAGAACACAUUCCCAUUGCCUCACAUGCCGGGAGCCAUCUCAGAAAGUAACAUUGGCUUUCAGCAGAGUGCCUCCCUGCCAUCAUACUUCUCUCAAGGUCCCAGCAGCAGGCCACCUGUCAGAAAUGAAGUCAGAAACUUACCUUUACCAGUUCCAAACAGGCCUCAGCCUCCAUCUCCUGGGGAAGAAGAG